rnacentral:rRNA from 1 species
UACAGAGGUCCCAAGCGUUGUUCGGAUUCACUGGGCGUAAAGGGUGCGUAGGUGGCCAGGUAAGUUCGGUGUGAAAGCUCGGAGCUUAACUCCGAAAUGGCAUUGAAUACUAUCUGGCUAGAGGGUCGGAGGGGAGACUGGAAUUCUCGGUGUAGCAGUGAAAUGCGUAGAUAUCGAGAGGAACACCAGUGGCGAAGGCGAGUCUCUGGACGACUCCUGACACUGAGGCACGAAAGCCAGGGGAGCAAGCAGG